rnacentral:tRNA from 1 species
GAAAUAUAAAUAAAUUUGAAUUUCUAACUCAAAAAUUAGCUAUAAAUAGUUAAUAUUUCU